rnacentral:rRNA from 1 species
UGGGGGAUAUUGCACAAUGGGCGAAAGCCUGAUGCAGCGACGCCGCGUGGGGGAUGAAGGCCUUCGGGUUGUAAACUUCUUUUGCUCUGAACAAGGCGCACCAUGGGGUGUGUUGAGUGUAGGGGUUGAUUAGCGCCGGCUAACUACGUGCCAGCAGCCGCGGUAAUACGUAGGGCGCGAGCGUUGUCCGGAAUUAUUGGGCGUAAAGGGCUUGUAGGUGGCUGGUUGCGUCUGUCGUGAAAGCUCAUGGCUUAACUGUGGGUUUGCGGUGGGUACGGGCUGGCUUGAGUGCAGUAGGGGAGGCUGGAAUUCCUGGUGUAGCGGUGGAAUGUGCAGAUAUCAGGAGGAAUACCGGUGGCGAAGGCGGGUCUCUGGGCUGUUACUGACACUGAGGAGCGAAAGCAUGGGGAGCGAACAGG